rnacentral:rRNA from 1 species
UACGUAGGGGGCAAGCGUUGUCCGGAUUUAUUGGGCGUAAAGAGCGUGUAGGCGGCUAGAUAGGUCCGUUGUGAAAACUCGAGGCUCAACCUCGAGACGCCGGUGGAAACCAUCUAGCUAGAGUCCGGAAGAGGAGAGUGGAAUUCCUGGUGUAGCGGUGGAAUGCGCAGAUAUCAGGAGGAACACCUAUAGCGAAGGCAGCUUGCUGGGACGUUACUGACGCUAAGGCGCGAAAGCGUGGGGAGCGAACAGG